rnacentral:miRNA from 1 species
GGCAUGGAGUCUGCAGGCAUCCACGAAACCACCUACAACUCCAUCAUGAAGUGUGACAUCGACAUCCGUAAGGACCUGUAUGCC